rnacentral:rRNA from 1 species
AUUGAACGCUGGCGGAAUGCUUUACACAUGCAAGUCGAGCGGCAGCGCGGGGCAACCUGGCGGCGAGCGGCGAACGGGUGAGUAAUGUAUCGGAACGUGUCCUGUCGUGGGGGAUAGCCCGGUGAAAACCGGAUUAAUACCGCAUACGAUCGAGGGAGGAAAGUGGGGGACCGCACGGCCUCACGCGAUAGGAGCGGCCGAUAUCUGAUUAGCUAGUUGGUGGGGUAAAGGCCCACCAAGGCUUCGAUCAGUAGCUGGUCUGAGAGGAUGAUCAGCCACACUGGGACUGAGACACGGCCCAGACUCCUACGGGAGGCAGCAGUGGGGAAUUUUGGACAAUGGGGGCAACCCUGAUCCAGCCAUUCCGCGUGAGUGAAGAAGGCCUUCGGGUUGUAAAGCUCUUUUGUCCGGGAAGAAACGGUUUUGGCUAAUAACCAAGACUACUGACGGUACCGGAAGAAUAAGGACCGGCUAACUACGUGCCAGCCGCCGCCGUAA